GGGCAUGAUGCGGGAGAGCAUGGGCGGCCUUUGAGGCACAGCCCGUCGCCGAAGGAGCAACCGCCCCGGAAUCUCUCAGGCCAAAGGACCGCAUCGCGCGC
rfam:Sphingomonas sp. SKA58 scf_1100007010442 genomic scaffold, whole genome shotgun sequence.